GAUGAACGCUAGCGGCAGGCCUAAUACAUGCAAGUCGAACGGUGUCUUCGGACAUAGUGGCGCACGGGUGCGUAACACGUAUGCAACCUACCUUACAUUGGGGGAUAGCCUUUCGAAAGGGAGAUUAAUACCGCAUAAGACAGUAGCUGGGCAUCCAGCAGCUGUUAAAGAUUUAUCGAUGUAAGCUGGGCAUGCGUCCAAUUAGCUAGUUGGUGAGGUAAAGGCUCACCAAAGCAAUGAUUGGUAGGGGCACUGAGAGGUCAAUCCACCACACUGGCACUGAGAUAAGGGCCAGACUCCUUCGGGAGGCAGCCGUAAGGAAUAUUGUGCAAUGGAGGCAAGUCUGACCCAGCCAUGCCGCGUGCAGGAAGAAGGCCUUCGGGUUGUAAACCGCUUUUGUCAGGGAAGAGAUCUUCUGGGCUAAUACCUCGGGAGGAUGACGGUACCUGAAGAAUAAGCACCGGCUAACUACGUGCCAGCCGCCGCCGUAAAAC
rnacentral:rRNA from 1 species